rnacentral:rRNA from 1 species
UACGGGGGGGGCAAGCGUUGUUCGGAAUUACUGGGCGUAAAGGGCUCGUAGGCGGCCAACUAAGUCGGACGUGAAAUCCCUCGGCUUAACCGGGGAACUGCGUCCGAUACUGGAUGGCUUGAGUAUGGAAGAGGGUCGUGGAAUUCCAGGUGUAGUGGUGAAAUACGUAGAUAUCUGGAGGAACACCGGUGGCGAAGGCGGCGACCUGGUCCUAUACUGACACUCAUACACGAAAGCGUGGGGAUCAAACAGG